rnacentral:misc_RNA from 1 species
GAUGAAGAACGUAGCGAAAUGCGAUACUUGGUGUGAAUUGCAGAAUCCCGUGAACCAUCGAGUCUUUGAACGCAAGUUGCGCCCGAAGCCAUUAGGCCGAGGGCACGCCUGCCUGGGCGUCACACGUCGUUGCCCCCCCAUCUACUCCUUCGGGAUUGCGGGGGGCGGAUGAUGGCCUCCCGUGCGCCUCGUCGCGCGGUUGGCAUAAAUGCCAAGUCCUCGGCGACGCACGCCACGACAAUCGGUGGUUGCGAAACCUCGGUUGCCCGUCGUGUGCGGUCGUCGCGCAUCGAGGGCUCGAAAAAAUUGCCGGGCUUCGGCUCGACUUUCAACGCGACCCCAGGUCAGGCGGGGUUACCCGCUGAAUUUAAGCAUAUCAAUAAGCGGAGGA